rnacentral:lncRNA from 1 species
GAAAUGUGUUUGUGAUCCAAAUGAAUUAUAGGCAUUGACAUUUUUAAAAUUUUUUAAAUUAUGAAAAUCAAAUAAAACUCAAAGAAAUUACAAAAUAGAAAAUUGGGAGAAGAAGAAUUCGAGAGACAUUGAAUAAAAAAAAUUGAGAAUAAAAUAGUUGAGAGAAUUGAAAAAAUAUGGUUGAAAGAACAAGAAAAAGAAAAUAGAAAAUAGGCAAGAUAUAUUAAAAAAAAAAGAAGAUAAACUUUUCUUUUCGUAAAUUAUAAUAACAGGAUAAAGUCCAAAUAAUAAAUGCGACUAACAUAACCUGAACCCAGACUACAUCUAAAGCAAUGAAUACCCUUAACCAUCGAACCAUCGCAUAUGAUUCAAUUUUCUCAACUUUUAAUUCACUUUUUAAUUCAAUUUAAAAUAAUAAUUACGGAAAACAUUUAAUGCAAUUAAAUCCUACCUCAUCUUAAACACCUUUGCCUAAACCCUAAUUAUAAGGCCCCUAUCCCUAUAUGUACUCGUUACGCCCAUACCACCCUGCAAAAGUUUACAUAAAUUUUAAAUAAUUUGUAUCGACUGACAGAGUUAUUAUUUCUUAUUUUAUUUUUCAUGUAGAUACCCCUUAUAAUCAUUCAUCAUCAUCACC